AACUGUGGAGGUCUAUAUCAAUUUUAUUUAAAAAAUAAAAUUGUCCGCUUAGUCUUUUACUUCAAAAGGUUUACAGGUUAAAUCACGUUGACACGGAAAACCUAAGCAUGCAAAUCUAGAACACAUGUAGUAAAACAUGCUCGCUUGGAAUUCUAAAUUGUGCUUAGUGAAAACGUAAAAAUACCUAGCAUGAUAUUCUAUGCGCAUUUAAACCAAAUAACGCAACUAAAACAUGCUCUAAAGCACCUUAACGGUGAUUAAAACCACGACAUGCUUACGACAAAAAAAACAUAAAAAAAAUAUCGUCUUAUCGUGGAAACUGGAACCUGUUCGUCCCUGCCUACUUUAUUACAAAGAAAUUCUAAUCUAUUACAAAAGGAAAUCUUCGUCUUUAGGAAAUCCUCGUCGUCUUCGACAAACUCCUGCUUCGAUUCAAAUAGACGGCAGAUCCGCGCAGCC
rnacentral:lncRNA from 1 species